rnacentral:rRNA from 1 species
GACGAACGCUGGCGGCGUGCCUAACACAUGCAAGUCGAGCGAGGAACUUCGGUUCCUAGCGGCGGACGGGUGAGUAACACGUGGGCAACCUGCCUUGUAGAGGGGGAUAGCCUUCCGAAAGGAAGAUUAAUACCGCAUAACAUCACGAAAUCGCAUGGUUUUGUGAUCAAAGGAGCAAUCCGCUACAAGAUGGGCCCGCGGCGCAUUAGCUAGUUGGUGAGGUAACGGCUCACCAAGGCGACGAUGCGUAGCCGACCUGAGAGGGUGAUCGGCCACAUUGGAACUGAGGAACGGUCCAGACUCCUACGGGAGGCAGCAGUGGGGAAUAUUGCACAAUGGGGGAAACCCUGAUGCAGCAACGCCGCGUGAGUGAUGAAGGCCUUCGGGUUGUAAAGCUCUGUCUUCAGGGACGAUAAUGACGGUACCUGAGGAGGAAGCCACGGCUAACUACGUGCCAGCCGCCGCCGUAA